GACGAACGCUGGCGGCGUGCUUAGCACAUGCAAGUCGUACGGUAAGGCCCUUUCGGGGGUACACGAGUGGCGAACGGGUGAGUAACACGUGAGUAGCCUGCCCACAACUUUGGGAUAACGCUAGGAAACUGGUGCUAAUACUGGAUAUGUGCUCCUGCUGCAUGGUGGGGGUUGGAAAGCUCCGGCGGUUGUGGAUGGACUCGCGGCCUAUCAGCUUGUUGGUGGGGUAGUGGCCUACCAAGGCGGCGACGGGUAGCCGGCCUGAGAGGGUGACCGGCCACAUUGGGACUGAGAUACGGCCCAGACUCCUACGGGAGGCAGCAGUGGGGAAUAUUGCACAAUGGGCGCAAGCCUGAUGCAGCAACGCCGCGUGCGGGAUGACGGCCUUCGGGUUGUAAACCGCUUUCAGCAGGGACGAAGCUUUUUGUGACGGUACCUGCAGAAGAAGCACCGGCUAACUACGUG
rnacentral:rRNA from 1 species